AAAUUGAAGAGUUUGAUCAUGGCUCAGAUUGAACGCUGGCGGCAGGCCUAACACAUGCAAGUCGAGCGGUAGCACAGAGAGCUUGCUCUCGGGUGACGAGCGGCGGACGGGUGAGUAAUGUCUGGGAAACUGCCUGAUGGAGGGGGAUAACUACUGGAAACGGUAGCUAAUACCGCAUAACGUCGCAAGACCAAAGUGGGGGACCUUCGGGCCUCAUGCCAUCAGAUGUGCCCAGAUGGGAUUAGCUAGUAGGUGGGGUAACGGCUCACCUAGGCGACGAUCCCUAGCUGGUCUGAGAGGAUGACCAGCCACACUGGAACUGAGACACGGUCCAGACUCCUACGGGAGGCAGCAGUGGGGAAUAUUGCACAAUGGGCGCAAGCCUGAUGCAGCCAUGCCGCGUGUGUGAAGAAGGCCUUCGGGUUGUAAAGCACUUUCAGCGGGGAGGAAGGCGUUGAGGUUAAUAACCUUGGCGAUUGACGUUACCCGCAGAAGAAGCACCGGCUAACUCCGUGCCAGCAGCCGCGGUAAUACGGAGGGUGCAAGCGUUAAUCGGAAUUACUGGGCGUAAAGCGCACGCAGGCGGUCUGUCAAGUCGGAUGUGAAAUCCCCGGGCUCAACCUGGGAACUGCAUUCGAAACUGGCAGGCUAGAGUCUUGUAGAGGGGGGUAGAAUUCCAGGUGUAGCGGUGAAAUGCGUAGAGAUCUGGAGGAAUACCGGUGGCGAAGGCGGCCCCCUGGACAAAGACUGACGCUCAGGUGCGAAAGCGUGGGGAGCAAACAGGAUUAGAUACCCUGGUAGUCCACGCCGUAAACGAUGUCGAUUUGGAGGUUGUGCCCUUGAGGCGUGGCUUCCGGAGCUAACGCGUUAAAUCGACCGCCUGGGGAGUACGGCCGCAAGGUUAAAACUCAAAUGAAUUGACGGGGGCCCGCACAAGCGGUGGAGCAUGUGGUUUAAUUCGAUGCAACGCGAAGAACCUUACCUGGUCUUGACAUCCACAGAACUUAGCAGAGAUGCUUUGGUGCCUUCGGGAACUGUGAGACAGGUGCUGCAUGGCUGUCGUCAGCUCGUGUUGUGAAAUGUUGGGUUAAGUCCCGCAACGAGCGCAACCCUUAUCCUUUGUUGCCAGCGGUUAGGCCGGGAACUCAAAGGAGACUGCCAGUGAUAAACUGGAGGAAGGUGGGGAUGACGUCAAGUCAUCAUGGCCCUUACGACCAGGGCUACACACGUGCUACAAUGGCAUAUACAAAGAGAAGCGACCUCGCGAGAGCAAGCGGACCUCAUAAAGUAUGUCGUAGUCCGGAUUGGAGUCUGCAACUCGACUCCAUGAAGUCGGAAUCGCUAGUAAUCGUAGAUCAGAAUGCUACGGUGAAUACGUUCCCGGGCCUUGUACACACCGCCCGUCACACCAUGGGAGUGGGUUGCAAAAGAAGUAGGUAGCUUAACCUUCGGGAGGGCGCUUACCACUUUGUGAUUCAUGACUGGGGUGAAGUCGUAACAAGGUAACCGUAGGGGAACCUGCGGUUGGAUCACCUCCUUA
rnacentral:rRNA from 1 species